rnacentral:rRNA from 1 species
UACGUAGGCAGCGAGCGUUGUUCGGAAUUACUGGGCGUAAAGAGUGUGUAGGCGGUGCUCUAAGUUCGGUGUGAAAUCUCCUGGCUCAACUGGGGGGGUGCGCCGGAAACUGGAGUGCUUGAGCGUGGGAGAGGAAAGCGGAAUUCCUGGUGUAGCGGUGAAAUGCGUAGAUAUCAGGAGGAACACCUGUGGUGAAGACGGCUUGCUGGACCAUAGCUGACGCUGAGACACGAAAGCGUGGGUAGCAAACGGG